GAGCAGGCCCGCUGUGUGUAUACAGGCCCGGACACCACCAGUAUGGAAGACUUACCUGCCCAGUGCCCACUGCUGAUGCUGCCCUUUUAAAGUUGUGAAUGCAAAACACACUGAAGAGACUGCAGCCGGUGCGCACCUCCUUGUACAGCUUACGGUGACAUCAUCACAAGCAUGUGUGACAUCACAGGGUUCUAAACCAUCUUCAGAUGAGAAUUUGACAAGUCAGAAGCAGGAACAUUUCCAAGCGACUGGCCAUUUCUGAUGACAUCAUUUUGUACGAGUGUUUCUCCGCCAGUGUCUUCCUUGCUCAACUGUUGUUUAUCACUUACCGGA